CCUUCGGGGGUACUCGAGUGGCGAACGGGUGAGUAACACGUGGGUGAUCUGCCCUGCACUUUGGGAUAAGCCUGGGAAACUGGGUCUAAUACCGAUAGACUCACGGCCUCAUGGUGUGGUGGAAAGCUUUUGCGGUGUGGGAUGGGCCCGCGGCCUAUCAGCUUGUUGGUGGGGUGAUGGCCUACCAAGGCGACGACGGGUAGCCGGCCUGAGAGGGUGAUCCGGCCACACUGGGACUGAGAUACGGCCCAGACUCCUACGGGAGGCAGCAGUGGGGAAUAUUGCACAAUGGGCGCAAGCCUGAUGCAGCGACGCCGCGUGAGGGAUGACGGCCUUCGGGUUGUAAACCUCUUUCAGACGACGAAGCGCAAGUGACGGUAGUGACAAAGAAGACCGGCCAACACGUGCCAGCAGCCGCGGUAAUACGUAGGGUGCGAGCGUUGUCCGGAUUACUGGGCGUAAAGAGCUCGUAG
rnacentral:rRNA from 1 species